rnacentral:rRNA from 1 species
CGCUGGCGGCAUGCCUAACACAUGCAAGUCGAACGGAGAAUCGCUUCGGUGAUUCUUAGUGGCGAACGGGUGAGUAACGCGUGAGGAACCUGCCUUCCAGUGGGGGACAACAGUUGGAAACGACUGCUAAUACCGCAUAACAUUCACGGACCGCAUGAUCUGUGAAUCAAAGCUUUAUGUGCUGGAAGAUGGCCUCGCGUCUGAUUAGCUAGUUGGUGGGGUAACGGCCCACCAAGGCGACGAUCAGUAGCCGGUCUGAGAGGAUGAACGGCCACAUUGGGACUGAGAUACGGCCCAGACUCCUACGGGAGGCAGCAGUGAGGAAUAUUGGUCAAUGGGCGAGAGCCUGAACCAGCCAAGUCGCGUGAGGGAUGACGGUCCUACGGAUUGUAAACCUCUUUUGUCGGGGAGCAAGAGCUCUACGUGUAGAGUAGUGAGAGUACCCGAAGAAAAAGCAUCGGCUAACUCCGUG